AGCAGCCGCGGUAAUUCCAGCUCCAAUAGCGUAUAUUAAAGUUGCUGCAGUUAAAAAGCUCGUAGUUGAAUUUCGGGACUAAUAUGUCGGUCGUGCCUCGGUACGUACUGGUAUUUUGGUUUCUCCCCUCUGACGAACCUUGAUGUCAUUAAUUUGGUGUCUUGGGAAAUCAGGACUGUUACUUUGAAAAAAUUUAGAGUGUUUAAAGCAGGCUCACGCUUGAAUACAUUAGCAUGGAAUAAUGAAAUAGGACGUUUGAUUCUAUUUUGUUGGUUUCUAGGAUCGACGUAAUGAUUAAUAGGGAUAGUUGGGGGCAUUAGUAUUCAAUUGUCAGAGGUGAAAUUCUUGGAUUUAUUGAAGACUAACUACUGCGAAAGCAUUUGCCAAGGAUGUUUUCAUUAAUCAAGAACGAAAGUUAGGGGAUCGAAGACGAUCAGAUACCGUCGUAGUCUUAACCAUAAACUAUGCCGACUAGGGAUCGGAUAAUGUUAAUUUUUUAAUGACUCAUUCGGCGCCUUGC
rnacentral:rRNA from 1 species